CAUCUCUAAAAGAGGACAGCAACAAGCUGGCCCAGGGUUCCCUAGGGAACCAGAAAGCCUGGUAGCAGGUGUGUGUGCCUCAUCUCCGCCCUCCAUACCUAAGCUGCCUAGAAUCACAUCCAGACUCUGGGAGCUGUUGGGUCCCAUGUAGUCUUUUGAAGGAAAAUGAGGCUGUGUGGGCAGGAUGUGGCGUUGCUGUGUGGGGUGAUGGAGAAGGAACCGGACUGGGAGCCAGAGGGCUCACCUUUCUAGUCCUGUCAGUCACACAAUUAAACAUGGAAGUAGCAGUGGAAGCACCACAAAAAUGAUUAUACAUGUCAAGUGGCAAUGAUAAUUGCAUGCUGUGACUGUCCUUGCAAGGGAUGAUUUGUGGGAUGAGGGAGAAGAUUCUGGAAAAA